CGGCCAUAAAUCCUCUCACCGCCCACUACCCUCCCCCCUCUCUCCACUCUCUCACCGACGGCGAUGGCGGCUAGACGUGCAGGGUAAGGAGGCAAGAUCUGGACGGCGAACACCGGCUUCAUCACUUCUCCGCCACACCCGCGUCAAUGGCAGUAAGCCAUCUCUCCACACAUUCGUAGGGAUCGAUGUAGGCAUCGACAUACCCAUCGAUUAAACUUCACGCAUCAAUUAAACAGAGAGAGAUCAAUUUAGGCAUCGAUUAAGCGGAGAUAGAUAGAUUUAGGCAUCGAUUAAACAAAGAGAGAUCGAUUUAGUCAUCGAUUUAGGGCUUGUUCGAUUAGUCCGUACAAGGGGUUGGGAAGAAUUUUGACUAAAAGGGGGAUUAUAUCAAUAACAAUCCCCUUAAAUCCCUUGAUUUUGACUA